rnacentral:sRNA from 1 species
CUUGUGAGGAAGGCAUCUUGCUUCCCCUUCGCCUCCUGACAUGAUUGUGAAUUUCCUGAGGCCUCCCCAGCCGUGAUGAACUCACCCACCUCAACUACCAGCAUCAGAAAACAAGUUCUGACCGGGUGCAGUGGCUCACACCUGUAAGAGUGGCUCACACUUUGGGAGGCCAAG